GGUCUUGCCGGAGCAACCCCACCUCCGAUUUAGACUUCCCUUGCAGAUCCCGGCGGCGACCGCGACUUCCCCGACUCCAGCUUCUCCGGCGCAAGCGGAUUUUUGCACCAACAGAUUUUAUAAAUUAAUUAUAAAUUAAUUAAUUAUAUAAAUAACUAACUAAUUUAUAAUUUAAUUUAAAUAGUUAAUUAAUAUUAUAUAAAUAGUUAAUUAAAAAUAAUAAAUAUAAAUAAAAAAAUAAA
rnacentral:lncRNA from 1 species